rnacentral:rRNA from 1 species
UACGUAGGGUGCAAGCGUUAAUCGGAAUUACUGGGCGUAAAGCGUGCGCAGGCGGUUGUGCAAGACCGAUGUGAAAUCCCCGGGCUUAACCUGGGAAUGGCAUUUGGGACUGCAAGGCUUGAGUGCGGCAGAGGAGACUGGAAUUCCUGGUGUAGCAGUGAAAUGCGUAGAUAUGUGGAGGAACACCGAUGGCGAAGGCAGCCCCCCUGGGUCAAGACUGACGCUCAUGCACGAAAGCGUGGGGAGCAAACAAGG